rnacentral:rRNA from 1 species
UUGGGUUAAGUCCUGCAACGAGCGCAACCCCUGCUGCCAGUUGCCAACGGGUGAAGCCGGGUACGUCUGGCGGGACUGCCAUCGACAAGAUGGAGGAAGGUGGGGAGUGACGUCAAGUCAUCAUGGCCCUUAUGUCCAGGGCGACACACGUGCUACAAUGGCCGGCACAGCGGGAAGCGAGGCAGUGAUGCCAAGCGGAUCCCUUAAAGCCGGUCUCAGUUCGGAUUGAAGUCUGCAACUCGACUUCAUGAAGCUGGAAUCGCUAGUAAUCGCAGAUCAGCCAAGCUGCGGUGAAUACGUUCCCGGGCCUU